CCUACGGGAGGCAGCAGUGGGGAAUUUUGGACAAUGGGCGAAAGCCUGAUCCAGCAAUGCCGCGUGAGUGAAGAAGGCCUUCGGGUUGUAAAGCUCUUUUGUCAGGGAAGAAACGGUGAGGGCUAAUAUCUCUUGCUAAUGACGGUACCUGAAGAAUAAGCACCGGCUAACUACGUGCCAGCAGCCGCGGUAAUACGUAGGGUGCAAGCGUUAAUCGGAAUUACUGGGCGUAAAGCGUGCGCAGGCGGUUUUGUAAGUCUGUCGUGAAAUCCCCGGGCUCAACCUGGGAAUUGCGAUGGAGACUGCAAGGCUAGAAUCUGGCAGAGGGGGGUAGAAUUCCACGUGUAGCAGUGAAAUGCGUAGAGAUGUGGAGGAACACCGAUGGCGAAGGCAGCCCCCUGGGUCAAGAUUGACGCUCAUGCACGAAAGCGUGGGGAGCAAACAGGAUUAGGAUACCCUGGUAGUCCACGCCCUAAACGAUGUCUACUAGUUGUCGGGUUUUAAUUAACUUGGUAACNCAGCUAACGCGUGAAGUAGACCGCCUGGGGAAUCGGUCGCAAGAUUAAAACNAAGAUGACGNUGNGAGNGACGAGACGACGACGAGGAGGAGG
rnacentral:rRNA from 1 species